UACGGGGGGAGCAAGCGUUGUUCGGAUUUACUGGGCGUAAAGGGCGCGUAGGCGGCCUCCGCAAGUCAGUUGUGAAAUCUCCGAGCUUAACUCGGAAAGGUCAACUGAUACUGCGGGGCUAGAGUGCGGAAGGGGCAACUGGAAUUCUCGGUGUAGCGGUGAAAUGCGUAGAUAUCGAGAGGAACACCUGCGGCGAAGGCGGCUCACUGGGGGUCUUCUGACGCUGAGGAACGAAAGCCAGGGGAGCGAACGGG
rnacentral:rRNA from 1 species